GCUGGGAUUGUCGUUCAAUAGUGGCUUAUCGAGCGUAGAGAACGGGUGCCUCCAUCUCAGCUCCCUUUGCUCGUGUACAGUGCUCACUAGCGUAGUACACCAUAACGAGAAGUAAGCGUGCUAACGCAUAUGCGACAGCGUAACCACACCAAAAGACACGUCUAAGUCGAAGCUUAAUAAUUUAGCCUUAGGAGUACAUUUUUAUACUUCAUGUGAUCUUAUGACCCAGACCUAAUCUGUCCUUAACCUAUCUUUCGCGACUUCUGUAAGACCGCUAACCGUCACAGUCUGAACUAUUUCGACUGGCAAAUAGACCCUGCUUUUUGCGAACGGGGAGGGGACACCAAAUCAAGAUGUCACCAAUGAAUGUACAAUAGUAAUAUUCAUUUUAAUUUGUUGUCAUCUGUGAAAUCUCAGUAUCUACUUCAAGUGAUACGUAUUUCCGCUUCUAUGAUGCGGCCUUUGAAACCCACGAGCUCCUUAGGCAACGCUAUACACUAGCAUGGGCAUAGCCAUUGGCGGACGUACAUACACACAGGCACGGAUUACGACAAAAAAAAA